UCCGUAGGUGAACCUGCGGAAGGAUCAUUACCGAGUUGAUUCGGGCUCCGGCCCGAUCCUCCCACCCUUUGUGUACCUACCUCUGUUGCUUUGGCGKGCCGCGGUCCUCCGCGGCCGCCCCCCUCCCCGGGGGGGUGGCCAGCGCCCGCCAGAGGACCAUCAAACUCCAGUCAGUAAACGAUGCAGUCUGAAAAACAUUUAAUAAACUAAAACUUUCAACAACGGAUCUCUUGGUUCUGGCAUCGAUGAAGAACGCAGCGAAAUGCGAUAAGUAAUGUGAAUUGCAGAAUUCAGUGAAUCAUCGAAUCUUUGAACGCACAUUGCGCCCUUUGGUAUUCCGAAGGGCAUGCCUGUUCGAGCGUCAUUACAACCCUCAAGCUCUGCUUGGUAUUGGGCACCGUCCUUUGCGGGCGCGCCUCAAAGACCUCGGCGGUGGCGUCUUGCCUCAAGCGUAGUAGAACAUACAUCUCGCUUCGGAGCGCAGGGCGUCGCCCGCCGGACGAACCUUCUGAACUUUUCUCAAGGUUGACCUCGGAUCAGGUAGGGAUACCCGCUGAACUUAAGCAUAUCAAUAAGCGGAGGA
rnacentral:rRNA from 1 species